GAGAUACCCUUCUGGGGCAAGACUUGCUUCAGUGUGGCUUUGGUGCUCACUGAGUCUGCCCCCUGAGUGUGUCCCU
rnacentral:pre_miRNA from 1 species